rnacentral:rRNA from 1 species
AUUGAACGCUGGCGGCAUGCUUUACACAUGCAAGUCGGACGAGUGGCGAACGGGUGAGUAACGUAUCGGAACGUACCUAGUAUGCGGAUAUAACUGUCCGAAAGGACAGCUAAUAGCGCAUACUAUUCUAUCGGCCGAUGUUGGAUUAGCGGGUUGGCGGGGUAAAGGCCCACAAAGGCGACGAUCAGUAGCGGGUCUGAGAGGAUGAUCCGCCACACUGGGACUGAGACACGGCCCAGACUCCUACGGGAGGCAGCAGUGGGGAAUUUUGGGCAAUGGGCGCAAGUCUGAUCCAGCCAUGCCGCGUGUGUGAAGAAGGCUUUCGGGUUGUAAAGGACUUUUGUCAGGGAAGCGGUACCUGAAGAAUAAGCACCGGCUAACUACGUGCCAGCAGCCGCGGUAAUUC